GACGAACGCUGGCGGCGUGCUUAACACAUGCAAGUCGAACGGAAAGGCACUGCUUUUGUGGGGUGCUCGAGUGGCGAACGGGUGAGUAACACGUGAGUAACCUGCCCUUGACUUUGGGAUAACUUCAGGAAACUGGGGCUAAUACCGGAUCGGAGCUCCUGCUGCAUGGGGGGGAUGGGAAAUUUGCGGCGUUGGGGGUUGAAUGCGCGGCUUUCCGGCUAGUUGGUGGGGUAGGGGCUUACCAAGGCUUUGACGGGUCGCCGGCAGGGGAGGGUGACCGGCCACCUUGGGACUGAGAUACGGACCAGAGUCCUACGGGAGGCAGCAGUGGGGAAUAUUGCACAAUGGGCGGAAGCGUGAUGAAGAAACGCCGCGUGCGGGAUGACGGCUUUCUGGUUGUAAACCGCUUUCGCCUGUGACGAAGCGUGAGUGACGGUAAUGGGUAAAGAAGCACCGGCUAACUACGUG
rnacentral:rRNA from 1 species